CUCNUACGGGAGGCAGCAGUGAGGAAUAUUGGUCAAUGGGCGGAAGCCUGAACCAGCCAUGCCGCGUGCGGGAAGAAGGCCCUACGGGUUGUAAACCGCUUUUCCGGGGGAAGAAUAAUCCCGCUGCGGCGGGAGAUGCCGGUACCCCGGGAAUAAGGAUCGGCUAACUCCGUGCCAGCAGCCGCGGUAAUACGGAGGAUCCGAGCGUUAUCCGGAUUUACUGGGUUUAAAGGGUGCGUAGGCGGCCCUGCCAGUCAGCGGUGAAAUGUGGCGGCUCAACCGUUUCGCUGCCGCUGAUACUGCGGGGCUUGGAUGCGGUCGAGGCGGGUGGAAUUCGUGGUGUAGCGGUGAAAUGCAUAGAUAUCACGAGGAACGCCGAUAGCGAAGGCAGCUCGCCGGGCCGCGAUCGACGCUGAGGCACGAAAGCGUGGGGAUCAAACAGGAUUAGAUACCCUGGUAGUCCACGCCGUAAACGAUGAUGGCUGGGUGUGCGUAUGCGAGGGCCC
rnacentral:rRNA from 1 species